ACCGGGUUGGCCUUUCCCCGCGCUCUUCCUCUGAGGAUUCUUCAACCAAUACGCCAAUCAGAGUGGACUCUCCUUGCUUAUUUUAUUCUGGAGCUGUCAUUGCCUCUUCUUUGUCAUGAGCUAUGCGCGUAGCAACGAAGUCAAGCUGUCGUGUAACUCAAUGCAGAAUUUUCCAUGCUAUUGACGAGGUCAGCUCUCUGGUUGGUGGUUGGGAGACUUGGUCUUCGGUUCUCACCGAGUCUUCUCGACCCCGCGCAAGCAGGGCCCCAUUAAAGACGACGACGACUUACUUUUAUUAAAAUUCUUACGCCUUUGUUCCCGUCAUCAUGGGCCUCCCGUUAUAUUUUACUCUCCCUUGACGUAACUCUCCACUUCAUUAACUCUAUGAAAUCUGGAUGGGCCUUCCAUCUAGUUUUUCUUUUUCUUUUUCAAAAACAAAGAGAGAAAUUACAAACGCGUUUGCAGCUGAUGUCUAACCCAGCUUUGAUUUUGGACUCCCGAGCUGUUGGUUCCAUCUCCCUUGCAAGAUCUCAUGCUACUUUUAGCUUUCUACCUUAUUGUGUAAAAGAAAAGCCUGAGAGAUUCAGAAAAAGGAGGAGAAACAUAAAAAAAAA